rnacentral:rRNA from 1 species
CCUACGGGAGGCAGCAGUGAGGAAUAUUGGACAAUGGGCGCGAGCCUGAAGCAGCCAAGUAGCGUGAAGGAUGAAUGCCCUACGGGUUGUAAACUUCUUUUAUAAAGGAAUAAAGUGGGGCAAGUGUGCCUUCUUGUUUGUACUUUAUGAAUAAGGAUCGGCUAAAUCCGUGCCAGCAGCCGCGCUAAUACGGAGGAUACGAGGGUUAUCCGGAUUUCUUGGGUUUAAAGGGAGCGUAGAUGGGUGGUUAAGUCAGUUGUGAAAGUGUGCGGCUCAACCGUAAAAUUUCAAUUGAUACUGGCAGCCUUGAGUACAGUUGAGGUAGGCGGAAUUCGUGGUGUAGCGGUGAAAUGCUUAGAUAUCACGAAGAACUCCGAUUGCGAAGGCAGCCUACUAAACUGCCACUGACAUUGAUGCUCGAAAGUGUGGGUAUCAAACAGGAUUAGAUACCCCGGUAGUC